AAUAGAUACCCUGGUAGUCCACGCCGUAAACGAUGUCGACUUGGAGGUUGUGCCCUUGAGGCGUGGCUUCCGGAGCUAACGCGUUAAGUCGACCGCCUGGGGAGUACGGCCGCAAGGUUAAAACUCAAAUGAAUUGACGGGGGCCCGCACAAGCGGUGGAGCAUGUGGUUUAAUUCGAUGCAACGCGAAGAACCUUACCUACUCUUGACAUCCAGAGAACUUAGCAGAGAUGCUUUGGUGCCUUCGGGAACUCUGAGACAGGUGCUGCAUGGCUGUCGUCAGCUCGUGUUGUGAAAUGUUGGGUUAAGUCCCGCAACGAGCGCAACCCUUAUCCUUUGUUGCCAGCGGUUAGGCCGGGAACUCAAAGGAGACUGCCAGUGAUAAACUGGAGGAAGGUGGGGAUGACGUCAAGUCAUCAUAGCCCUUACGAGUAGGGCUACACACGUGCUACAAUGGCAUAUACAAAGAGAAGCGACCUCGCGAGAGCAAGCGGACCUCAUAAAGUAUGUCGUAGUCCGGA
rnacentral:rRNA from 1 species